UACGGAGGGUGCAAGCGUUAAUCGGAAUUACUGGGCGUAAAGCGCGCGUAGGUGGUUUGUUAAGUUGAAUGUGAAAUCCCCGGGCUCAACCUGGGAACUGCAUCCAAAACUGGCAAGCUAGAGUAUGGUAGAGGGUGGUGGAAUUUCCUGUGUAGCGGUGAAAUGCGUAGAUAUAGGAAGGAACACCAGUGGCGAAGGCGACCACCUGGACUGAUACUGACACUGAGGUGCGAAAGCGUGGGGAGCAAACAGG
rnacentral:rRNA from 1 species